UGAAAGCGCAAAGGGCGCAUGGUGGAUGCCUACGCACCAAAUGGCGAUGAAGGACGUGGCGAACUGCGAUAAGCCUCGGUGAGCUGUAAGCGAGCAUAGACCCGGGGAUUUCCGAAUGGGGCAACCCGUCAGGUUGAAGACCUGACAUCCCUUUUAGGGAGGCGAACGUGGUGAACUGAAACAUCUUAGUAGCCACAGGAAGAGAAAGUAAGAACGAUUCCCUCAGUAGUGGCGAACGAAAGGGGAAUAGCCUAAACCAGCUUUUUAGCUGGGGUAGUGGGACGGCGACAUCUGGCUGUCACUUAUAGACGAACCGAUCUGGAAAGGUUGACCGGAGAGGGUGAUAGUCCCGUAGUUGAAAUGAGUGUCGGUUGGUAGCCGUAUCCCGAGUAGCCCGGGACACGUGGAAUCCUGGGUGAAUCAGCGAGGACCAUCUCGUAAGGCUAAAUACAUUUGGUGACUGAUAGCGUAGCAGUACCGUGAGGGAAAGGUGAAAAGCACCCCGGGAGGGGAGUGAAACAGAACCUGAAACCGUGCGCCUACAAGCGGUCAGAGCAGGCGUCAACAUUGUUUGUGAGUUGAGGAUUGAUAUUUAUCUUUGAUUUAUGGGCAGUGUUGACGCUUGUGAUGGCGUGCCUUUUGCAUAAUGAGCCGACGAGUUAAUGUCAUAAGCGAGGUUAAGUGUUACAGGCACGUAGCCGUAGCGAAAGCGAGUCUUAACUGGGCGUCAAGUUUAUGGUAUUAGACCCGAAACCGGGUGAUCUACCCAUGGUCAGGUUGAAGGUUGGGUAAAACCAACUGGAGGACCGCACCAACCGUCGUUGAAAAGGCGGUGGAUGAACUGUGGGUAGGGGUGAAAGGCCAAACAAACCCGGAGAUAGCUGGUUCUCUCCGAAACAUAUUUAGGUAUGGCCUCAGGUGGACAUUAACGGAGGUAGAGCACUGAAUGGGCUAGGGGACUUACAGGUUUACUGAACCCAAUCAAACUCCGAAUGCCGUUAAUCAAUACCUGGGAGACAGGGCGUGAGGGAUAAGCUUCACGUGCGAGAGGGGAACAACCCAGACUGUCAGCUAAGGUCCUCAAAUAGAUGCUUAGUGCGUAAGGAUGUUCAAUUGCCCAGACAGCCAGGAUCUUGGCUUAGAAGCAGCCAUGAUUUAAAGAGUGCGUAACAGCUCACUGGUCGAGUGGUAGAGCACCGAAGAUGAUCGGGACUUCAAGCAUCUUACCGAAGCUGCGGAGCAUCGCGCAAGCGUUGCUGGUAGGAGAGCGUUGUGAUUGCGCCGAAGGUGUCCUGUGAGGGAUGCUGGAGUGAUCGCAAGAGACCAUGUCGGCAUGAGUAACGACAAUGCGGGUGGGAAACCCGCACACCACAAGCCCGAGGUUUCCUGAGUAAAGUUAAUCUUCUCAGGGUUAGUCGGCCCCUAAGGUAUAGCCGUAUGGCGAAGCUGAUGGGAGCCAGGUUAAUAUUCCUGGACCUGUGUGUUGAGCGAUGGAGUGACGCGACGGUGCAGUGGAGACGGCUGUUGGAAUAGCCGUUGAGUGCAUGUAGGAGGUGGCGCAGGCAAAUCCGUGCCACACAUACUCCGAGGUGCAGGACGAGGAGCAAUCCGCAAAGUCCAUGUAUAUACGUCGCCGAGAAAUAGCUUCUAAGCAUAUCAAUAUACAGACCGUACCGCAAACCGACACAGGUGGGCGAGGAGAGUAUCCUAAGGUGUUCGAGCGAACUCUGGUUAAGGAACUAGGCAAAAUAACCCCGUAACUUCGGGAGAAGGGGUGCCCCGUUAUCGUGAUAGAGCGCAUCUGGAGCGAGAGGGGGCCGCAGCGAAUAGGCCCAAGCGACUGUUUAUCAAAAACACAGGUCUAUGCGAAGGCGCAAGCCACGGUAUAUAGACUGACACCUGCCCGGUGCCGGAAGGUUAAAUGGAGAGGUCAUCCCUUUCGGGGGAGAAGCUUCGAAAUGAAGCCCCGGUAAACGGCGGCCGUAACUAUAACGGUCCUAAGGUAGCGAAAUUCCUUGUCGGGUAAGUUCCGACCUGCACGAAUGGUGUAACGAUUUGGGCGCUGUCUCAACCAGGGGCUCGGUGAAAUUGAAGUAGCGGUGAAGAUGCCGCUUACCCGCGAACGGACGGUAAGACCCCGUGAACCUUUACUGCAGCUUGGCAUUGUAAAUUGGUGCAGUAUGUGUAGGAUAGGUGGGAGGCUAUGAAGCGUGCACGCUAGUGUGUGUGGAGCCGUCGUUGAAAUACCACCCUUAUUGUAUUGGUUUACUAACGAUAGUGUAGCUAUCGGACAUUGCCAGGUGGGCAGUUUGACUGGGGCGGUCGCCUCUGAAAAGGUAACAGAGGCUUACCAAGGUUCCCUCCGGCUGGUUGGUAAUCAGCCACAGAGCGUAAAGGUAUAAGGGAGCUUAACUGCGAGACUGACGGGUCGAGCAGGUGGGAAACCAGGUCUUAGUGAUCCGGCGGUCCUGAAUGGAAGGGCCGUUGCUCAAAGGAUAAAAGGUACUCCGGGGAUAACAGGCUGAUACCGCCCAAGAGUUCAUAUCGACGGCGGUGUUUGGCACCUCGAUGUCGGCUCAACUCAUCCUGGGGCUGAAGAAGGUCCCAAGGGUUCGGCUGUUCGCCGAUUAAAGAGUUACGCGAGCUGGGUUCAGAACGUCGUGAGACAGUUCGGUCCCUAUCCUUCGUGGGCGCAGGAAAUUUGAGGAGAUCUGCAUUUAGUACGAGAGGACCGGUGUGGACGAACCUCUGGUGUACCGGUUGUGAUGCCAAUUGCAUUGCCGGGUAGCCACGUUCGGUGAGGAUAACCGCUGAAAGCAUCUAAGCGGGAAGCCAACUCCAAGAUAAGAUUUCCCUACAGACAGGUUGGAGACUACAACCUUGAUAGGUCACAGGUGUAAGCGCGGCAACGCGUUCAGCCGAGUGAUACUAAUCAGUCGAUUGGCUUUCACCA
rnacentral:rRNA from 1 species